rnacentral:lncRNA from 1 species
CGGGGCGGCAAAACGUCCGCCCGGGCCCGAGGCGGGCGGAGGCAGCUGUGGUUACGUGCGGGGGGCCGGUGACGCAGUCGCGGGGCGCUGGGACGCGGCUUGCGGAGCCGGCCGGCGAGCGCAGGCCCCAGGCUCGGGCGCGGCGGCGGGACAGCACCUACCUUCCCGGCUUCGGGUCCGGGAGUGCGGGGCGCGGAGCCGCCGGAGCGCUGCCUCCCUCCUUCCUCCUCCCCUCGCCCCCGCCCCGCGGCGCGACACACAAUACUCGCCGGAAGCGGAAGCCGCGCCGAGGCUCGUGUCAGUGGAAGCUGGGGUGUCGGCGGGCGGCCGCGGCCGGGUCUAGCGGUGCCUGCGGAAGAAGGAGGAGGAGGGCUGGCGAUGAGAAGCAGCAGGGGGAAUCAAGGGCAAGAAGGGACCCAGAGGGGCAGGUGGCUGAGAUGCUGGCGUCCAGGUGACCCGAGGAAUCCUCUGGAGAUACAGGCCCGCGCAUGCGCGUGCUCGAGCGCUGAAGCCCAUUGCCCGCAGGGCGCUGGACUGGCGCCCCGGCCGGCGAGGCUGUCUAGUCCAGGCUCCAGGCCCCGGCUCUGGCCAGGCGCCGCCGCCUCCCGGUGCAGCUGAAAGUCGACGAAGAGGGCGGGGCGGGGGCGGCUUGUGGACUUCCACACUUUUCCUCUCUUCGGGCCAGUCUGGGGAGAGGGUGGCUAGCUGUGGCGGCGGCCAAUUACGUGGCGGACCUGCGGGGCUAAGCUGGCACGUCACUUCCGACUAGUGGAGUUUUUAGCCUUUUAACAUUCAAGGAUUAGAGCUCCCUCUUUGCCCACUAGCAGGGCAUUAGCUGGUGCUGAAGACAGUGGCUGCUUGGCGAGCCUGGAUCUCCAAGUGACCCCCUCAGCAACUCCUGAUGAACAGGACUGAAGCCAAUAUUAAAGCAAGUCAACCAAAGGUUCUCUGGUGUAGACAAGACAGCAAAAGGACAGACUACCUUGUGGAACCUAGCAUUGUUCUCCUUCUGCAGCACUAAGUAACAUUUGUUCUCCGUUAAGAUCUUUGCAAACCACACACAAGAAUUGCUGGUCAUCCUGCCAAUAGAUGCUGCUCACAGAACCAAAUUUCCUGUGCUGAAUUGUCACUCAUGGGCUUGAGAGUAGGAGACUGGAGACCAAGGUGGCUAGAAUCCAGUUGGGCCUGAUGUCUCCCUGUUGAAAGGGCUCCUUGUGGAAUGAAUAGCACAUGGCUCCUGUGGUGGAUCUGAUAGUGGCAUAGCACCAAGUGAUGCAGGCCUGCCAGGGGCCACAGACACAGAAGAUGCUCCCGGGGUCCCCCAUGUACUCCAGACACACUGCAGGCCACCUCUCCCAGCAGGUUGCCAGUCAUGGGCCCCAUCAUCAUGACUUCUGUCCAAGGUGUGCUCGGAAAUCUCUUCCUUAACUGUGACUUUCUGACAGGUGGAGGAUGUGGUCAGGAGUGGGAAAAGGAUUCGAGACGGGAAGAGGGAGGGGUUCAGGAUGAAGAGAGAUAAUCUGUGCCACAGAUGCUGGCCCUGCAGUUAGCUCCCACCUAGUCCGUGCACACACAUUCUAAUCCCCUCCCAUUCCUUUACAUGCUGCGGCCAGAGAGGCCUUUCUCAAAGUGGAAGUCUCAUCCUCACUUCUCUGGUUACAGUGCUGGGCCAUGGUAACUUACAAGGCUUAGCAGGAACUGUCUGCGCACUCCCCCUUCCUGCCCACUACCUUGUUUCCCUCCAGUUGCGAGAGAAAACAUUGAUUGAGCAUUAACUAUGUGCCAGGCUUGUCCUAAGUCCUUUGCAUGUAUUCACUCAAACAAUCCUCACAACAUUCCUAUCACAUCUCCCAUUUCACAGUGAGGGUUCUAAAGCACGUAGUGGGUGAGGAACUUGUCCAGGGUCACACAACUAAGUGGGGGUGGAGAAACAUCAAAUCUAGGUGGUCCAGGUGGUGGCCAGAACCCAUCAGCACCUCACUACAGCUGCCUCCAGUUUCUCGCUCUAGGAAAUACUCUUCCCUGUCAACUCCUGUUGUCCUCUGGGCUCAGUUGACAUGUCAUCUCCUUGAGGAGGACAUCCUGAGAUGCUCCCCGACUAGGGUGGGCACCCACUUCCACACUCCAAAUGCCUAUUUGACCUGUGUAUCGCUGCAUCCCCACUGCCUGGCAGAUAGCAGGCCCCUAAUAAAUAUGAUUUGAGCAAAUAAAUAUAGUUCUUCAAAAAAUAGGGAGGACUUCUUGCUUCAGGUAAUGGUAGGCUAGGACAUUUGGACCAACCCUCCUGCAGAAAAUAGCCAUUUAUUUUGAUGCAAUAUAUCUGGCUAUGACUAGAGAUUUCAAAUAUUUGGAGGGCUAUUAUGUGAAGAACUAAACUUACUCUUUGUGACAUAGAGGUCAGAAAUUGGUCGUUUCCAUAGAGUAUGAGAGAGACAGAAUUGUGCUCAUCAUAAGUAUCUUUUUUAAAAGUUAGACUUAAUAAAAUGGGCUGCCUUGGUAGGUGGUGAGUUCUCUGUCACGAAAGAGAUUCAGCCACUUGCUCUGAGAAAGCAUGGAGAAUAUCAACAUUGUAAGGGUCGACCACCUCAUCUCUGAGGCCCCCUCCUCACUUAGGUUGCCAUUGCAGGUGGAACACUGGGCUGAGUGUCAAAGAACCUGGGUUCCACAAGCUGUGCGACCAUGGCUGGUUGUUUUGGAUCUCAUUCCUAAUAUCUGUUAGUUAAGCUGACCCGUCAAUACUGACCCACUUCACAGAGUUAUGAAGGGAUUAAAUUAGGUAUUACAUGUAAAUCUGUUUUGUUUGCUUUUUGUUGUUCUUUUUUGUUUUGCUUUUUUCUUUGCAUUAUGAAAUCCCAAGUCAACUUUUUCCAUUCUUUUAUUUUUUUAAAAAUUGACAUCAUCAUUAUAACCACAAAAUAAUUUUUAAAAUGGAAAAAAAAAACUCACCUGCAACCCCACAAUCUAAUACAAUAAUCAUACUUUUUUCCCUUUAUUCUCCUUUAUUGUGACCAAGGAUGACUUUGGGCAUUGCUGUGAGGAACUAUUUCGUUUAACACCCUACUACCUGAACAUGAUGCGUACUCAGCCUUUCACCACCCCCCAAGUAGCUACACAUGAUGUGAUAAUAGUAUUGGUGGUGGUUUUAGAGAGUUGGAGAGAAAACUGAAGUUGGAUUUGGGUAAAAGAAAAAAGAGUGGGAAUUAUUUUUUCUCCAUUCUAAAGCCCAUAAAGCAAUGUUAAUUGUUCCCACCCCUCUGCUAUUCUGUCUCCUCAGGUACUGUGUGCAGAAAUGUGAUUGAGAUUCAAGUCAGGGCCUCUCUGCCCUUUUCCCUCCAGAAACAAAACCAAGAUAAUUUAUCCUGAACACGGUGAAAAAAGGAAGGGAGGGAGGAGAAAAAGUCCGGGUCUCACCUGGGAUUCUCUGUCUCCUGCAACAUGAAGGAUUUAGCCUGGGAGGAGGUGGUGAGAACUCUGGGAGAGAAAAAAGAAGGAAAGAAUAGUUUUACCCAUGCUGAAGUUAAUUUAAACCUUCACCUAGAGAAGCAAAAAAAAAAAACCCACACUUUCCCAUUUUGUGCCUCCCUUCCUAGAGUUUUAGCCAAAGGUUUAGCUAAGUAAUUGGUUUUACCAGCGCACUCACUCCUCCUAUCCCAAGUCUGUUUGACUCCCUCCCCAUCAUCCUCCUCACCUCUUUUCAGGCAGGGUGGGGAUAGCAGCAGGAGGAGAUUUUGGGAGCCUGGCAACUCCUGCAAGGACCGCAGGACAGCCCCUCUGUGGGGAUGCGUGGUGCCCCAUCUGCCGCCCUUCUGAAGAAUGCACUGCCUUCACUUUUUACUGUGUUAGAGUCCAUCCAGACUGUUCUAUCCAAAAAAGUUUCUUUUUCCCCCACAGGCAAUCAGGAAAUGAUUCCUUUCCCGACUGCUUCUGUCUAGUGCCUGGGAAUCUUGAGUCAAUCCCUCAGUAAGUCAGUGACUAGGGAAAUCCCUCUCUGAGCCUCCCAGUUCAUGUUGCUUAGGGAACCUGAUAUUUUCGUGAAACCUGCCUACACAUGGGCAGCCCAACAGCAGAACAAAUGGUGGUGACCAAAGUGAACAAAGAAGUAUAGUUGUGCCAGCUUCGUAGUUGCCCAUGUGGACAAGUCAGCAGGAUCAGGACACGAGGAAGAGUAAAUGUGAGACAGUCAAUGUGACUUCUGCGAUAAACAGAUUUUUAAACCCCGAAAUUUUGCAAAAUUUUGGUGAAACCUGAACUUUCUUCGUUGCAUAUACUGGCACUAUCUGUACCAUCAUACAACUGUCUCACAUUAAAGCUAUUUUUCUUGGGCACUGAUGAGUAAGGUUGGUAUAAGUUCCUCAGAUCAACAAAAACCCAUUUUCCUGUAAGUCUUACAUUUAGUAUUUAAGGAACUAAAACUUAAAUACAUUUUGUGAAAUGGUUGACACUUCACUGAUAAUGAUUUAUUGCUUGGAUUAAUAAAUUUUCCAAAAGUUGUCUUAUGUAGAAUAUGGUUUGCAACCAGCAGAACCAUUAAUCUAUACUGCAAUGAUAUGCACUAUGUAUAAUUGUUUAAAAGCCUCUACUUAAUGAUGUAAAAUGCUCUAUUUAAUUACACAUUUGGGUAAACUGUAUACUAACAUCUGAUGGCAUUUUUCCACUGUUUGUUGCUUUUUUCAAAUACUUUAUUGUACAAAGCUGUUCUUAAUAUUUUUCAAGUUUUUUUCUUUGAAUUUUGCUAAUGUUUUCCUUGAAUUAUGAGCACUGACAGAAUGUGCUUAGCACUUUUGGCUAUUCACACAGCUUUUGAGCAUGAUUUGCAUCCAAUAUUUACAUUGCUAGCAAUAAUAAGCCAUCUGUGAGUUUUGUCAAAAGUUAUUGGGGAUUUUUUAAAUUUUAGAAAUGCAAAUUAUUGUUUCUUUGAACUAACUCUUAUGCAGUUGCAAAGGCAUUUCCAGUUGUUAUAGUUUGUGUACAAUAUCAGGUGUUCCAGAUUAUGAUUCAUUAUUAAUAUCAUUGCUUCCUUGUUCCCUCUGAGGUCCAGAAGAUUCAUGUUUACAAUAUUUAGAAACAAUGUUAAAAAGGUAUCCAAAGUUUGUCACUUUAUUAUUAGUUUGUUCUUAAUAUUCUGUUUAAGUUUUUGAAUUCAUAGAUAUCAAAACGCUGCACAAUUAUGAUUUCCACAGGAAUAACAACACACUAACAAUAAGAACCAAAAACAGCAAAUAGGCUGCCUACAAGUUUUGACAAUAUUAGGAUAAUGAUAAUGACAGUUUUUCUAAAUCUCACAGUAAAGAAUGCAGCAACCCAGCAACACUGCUACCUGUGGCCUCAGGCUGCAGUGUCAGCUCUUCCCUGGGUCUCCAGCCUGCCAGUCUAACCUGAAAAUUAUGUACUUGCCAGCCCCCACAGUCACGUGAGUGAACUGGCCCAGGCUGGUCACCAGGGUCAGUUUCUCUGUGUGUCAUUAAUUCAUUCAGUCUUCAGCAGUCUCUUUGGAGCUGAGAUGUACCUACCAUCUGCCUUUUGGGUGCUUAGGGUGGAGAACCAGAAAAGUAUAACCUAGUGUGUAUCCUCAAAGAGCUAACAAUAUGGGGUGGUACCUAUAGGUCUGGAAACACUUUACUGACUCUGUGAGGCAUACCAGGAGACGUCAGAGAACAGUCCCUCCUCAAAUGCCAAAUGAGAUGCAGAAGAAAUAGUUUGCUCAAGUUCAUGGGCCAGAUAUCCCAGUGGUCAGGGAGUUUCAUGAAUGAGAUGGAACUUUGCAUGGAACCCGAGGGAUGUGUAUGAUUUGAGUAGAUGAAGAAAAUGAGACUUUCCAAGCAGCUAGAAGUUAGGGAGCAGCAAGAUGUGUGGUGGGAUUGAGCACAGUUGGUUCAGAGGAUAGACUGCAGUUUUAAUAAUUUGUAGUAAAUAUCUCCCAACUGUUUGGCACUAUUGGAGCAAGUUCUUGAAUGCCAAAUGAAGGCAUAAAUCAGUAAGAGGCAUAAUAAAAGGCUGAGCAGUGCUUGGCUUUUUACGAACUGAUCCUGAUAGGAGCAGCUGUUCAACAAAGUUGCCAGGUCACCGUUACAUAGUCCCUGCCUUCUAGGGGCUCACUGCCUACUGGGAGAGACAGUCUGAAAGUUGGUGGAGCAUGUAACUGUUGGAUGAGGAGUUUGAGCCUGUGGACUGUGGGACCCCCGAGGAGGGUGUGGCUACUCUAGGCAGAACAAUCCCACAGUUUAUUUAUAUUUAACCUUGAAAUUCAUUAGAGGAUUUUUCAGCAGAGGUUUGGUACUUGUUAAUGUUAAGGUUUGCAUUCUCUAGAACCUCAAGGAAAGCUGUACCGUGCAUAAUGUACCCUCUUAUGUUAAUGUUGUGUACUGUGAUCCUGUUUCAGGGACUUGCACUUAGGAAUCUGUUACAGUGAGCACAGAAGCAGACCUGUGGGCUCAUAGUCUUCACCCCCCACCCAUAUAUACAAGAUGAACAGAGUGGAGGUUAAACAACUUGACUAAACAACACAGUUCAUGGUAAAGCCCAAGACUGUACCUGCCCAUCCACUGCCUUUUCCAUGUAUCCUGGAACUGAGCAUAGACCUCUUCCCAGGCAGAGCUGACAGCAAGUAAAGGAGAUCAUAAUCAGGGGACCAAACAACUUUGUCUAAAGUGUGAAUGUCACCUAAGGAGAAGCUGUGAGAUCAGAAGGGUGGGGCAGAGGAGCAGACACCAUGAGAGAGAGUCCUUGGGGGUACAUCUGCCAGACUGACACUGUCUGGCCUGGGCAGUGGAGGGGCUAGCAGGAACCACAGGUACUGGUGGUGUGGCUACUACCGUUACAACUGCCUGUGCUUGGACAUGGACCCUCUGCAAUAUGCGGCAGUUUCAUUCAUUGCCCCCUACAUUCUACACCAAGUAGAAAUGGAAGGCAAUUGGAUACUUCACAGACAAGAUCUAAGUGGAGAAGGAAUGCGUCCUGUGGCUGCAGAGAUCCUUGGAGCUUGGAGGGGAGAGCUUGAGCCCCACUGAUGAUGACCUCCCACAGCUCGCCAACUCAGCCCUCCCUAAGUCCCCAUCGGGGGCCAAUUCUCACUCUGGGGUUGGGGGGACUCCACCAUAGCUCAUCCAUCAUAGGGAUGUUGGUAUCUACUGUGGGUUGGGUAGGGCCGAUGUGCUGAGGAUGGCUCCCCCACAAGCAAGAGAUGUGGAUUUGGGGAGCUUCCCAUCUUGUGUUGAAGGAACAUAACUCAGAAUAAUAAGAGCCAACUAUAACAAACCCACAGCCAACAUCAUACUGAAUGGGCAAAAGCUGCAGGCAUUCCCCUUGAAAAGUGGCACAGGAUAAGGAAGCCCUUUCUCACCACUCCUAUUCAAUAUAGUGUUGAAAGUCCUGAUCACAGCAGUCAGGCAACAGAAAUAAUAAAGGGCAUCCAAAUAGGAAGAGAGGAAGUCAAACUAUCCUUGUUUGCAGACAGUAUGAUUCUAUAUCUAGAAAACCCCAUAGCCUCAGCCCAAAAGGUCCUUCAUCUGAUAAUUUCAGCAAAGUUUCAGGAGACAAAAUCAGUGUACAAAAAUCACUAACAUUCCUAUACACAGUCGCCAAGCCAAGAGCCAAAUCAGGAGCACAAUCCCAUUCAUAAUUGCCACAAAAAAGAAUAAAAUACCCAGGAAUGCAGCUAACCAAGGAAGUAAAGGAUCUCUACAAUGAGAAUCACAAACGCUGCUCAAAGAAAUCAGAGAUGACACAAACAAAUGGAAAAACUUUCCAUGCUCAUGGCUAGGAAGAAUCAAUAUCAUUAAAGUGGCCAUACUACCCAAAGCAAUUUAUAGAUUCAAUGCUAUUCCUAUCAAACUAUCAAUUACAUUUUUCACAGAACUAGAAAAAACUUAAAAUUCAUAUGGAACCAAAAAGCCUGAGUAGUCAAGGCAAUCCUAAACAAAAAGAACAAAGGUGGAGGCAUCACAUUACCUAACUUCAAACUACAGGGCUACCAUGACCAAAACAGCAUGGUACUGGUACAAAAGCAGACACACAGACCAGUGGGACAGAAUAGAGAGCCCAAAAAUAAGGCCACAAACCUACAGCCAUCUGAUCUUCAACAAAGUUGACAAAAACAAGCAAUGGGGAAAGGUCUCCCUAUUCAAUAAAUGGUGCUGGGAUAACUGGCUGGCCAUAUGCAGAAGAUCGUAACUGGACCCCUUUUACUAUGUACAAAAAUUAAGAUGGUUUAAAGAGUUAAAACCCAAAAUUAUAAAAAUCCUGAAGAUAACUUAGGCAAUACCAUUCUGGACAUAGGAACUGGCAAAUAUUUCAUGAUGAAGACACCAAAAGCAAUUGUAACAAAAGCAAAAAUGGACAAAUUGGAUUUAAGAGCUUUUUCAUAGCAAAAUAAACAACAGGGCAGACAAUCUACCAAAUGACAGAAAAUUUUUGCAAACUAUGCAUCUGACAAGGGGCUAAUAUCUAGCAUCUAUAAGGAAUUUAAACACAGUUACAGG